UACAGAGGGGGGCAAGCGUUAUUCGGAAUUAUUGGGCGUAAAGGGCGCGUAGGCGGCUUUGCAAGUGGCGGGUGAAAUCCCUCGGCUUAACCGAGGAACUGCCUGUCAAACUGCAUGGCUUGAGACCGGAAGAGGUAAGUGGAACUGCGAGUGUAGAGGUGAAAUUCGUAGAUAUUCGCAAGAACACCAGUGGCGAAGGCGGCUUACUGGUCCGGUUCUGACGCUGAGGCGCGAAAGCGUGGGGAGCAAACAGG
rnacentral:rRNA from 1 species